AACGAACGCUGGCGGCAGGCUUAACACAUGCAAGUCGAGCGCCCCGCAAGGGGAACGGCAGACGGGUGAGUAACGCGUGGGAAUCUACCCAUCUCUACGGAAUAACGCAUGGAAACGUGUGCUAAUACCGUAUAAGUCCUUCGGGAGAAAGAUUUAUCGGAGAUGGAUGAGCCCGCGUUGGAUUAGCUAGUUGGUGGGGUAAAGGCCUACCAAGGCGACGAUCCAUAGCUGGUCUGAGAGGAUGAUCAGCCACACUGGGACUGAGACACGGCCCAGACUCCUACGGGAGGCAGCAGUGGGGAAUAUUGGACAAUGGGCGCAAGCCUGAUCCAGCCAUGCCGCGUGAGUGAUGAAGGCCCUAGGGUUGUAAAGCUCUUUCACCGGUGAAGAUAAUGACGGUAACCGGAGAAGAAGCCCCGGCUAGCUUCGUGCCAGCCGCCGCAGUAAUAC
rnacentral:rRNA from 1 species